GGGGCAGCCGCGAGACUCAAAUGACCCCGGGCCCUCGCCCGCCCGGGCCCACCGGGCUUCUCCAAGCCCAGCGUGGCUCAGCCCGCAGGGCGCCAACCAGACACCGACUCCCCUCCCGGGCCAAGUGGGAGGGUUCAACCGGCAAAGUUUCUACCGCAAGGGCGGGCCUCCGUCCCCGCACCGGCCACAUGUGCUACCCGGGAGGAACGGUCACCCACCUCCUCCCGCUACUGCAAGGUGGAACAGCUGCCCCACGCCCCGCUCUCAUUUGUUUUCCACGUUGCAUCAAUUCGGCACGUGAACGCCUGAGGCUCCCGAGUUUCCCGGCCCCGGCCGGCAGGCACGCUCCCCGGGGCAACGGGCCGACGCUUACCUUGGCGGUCGCCAUGCUGCGCCCCGAGUGCGGGCGGCUGCAGGACCCUCCCGGAGGCUGGCUGGCACCGUGGGCCCCGGCGGCUCACUUCCAGUCCGGGCAGCAGCGGGGGUGGCGAUACAGCCCCGCGGCGUGCGCGCCCGGCCUGCCUCCCCACGCCCUCCCGCCGGCGCGGGUCAUGAGGGCGCCGCCCGCCCAUUGGCUGCGCCCGGCCGGGGCCGCCGGGGCGCGCGUGAUCCGACGGCCUCUGCCCUGCGGCCGGGGCGGGCCCGGGUCCGGGGGGCGGUGGACGGGGCGCGCGCACGUGACCCCGGCUGCGCUGUCCAGGGCCGGCGACCUCGGCGGCGCGGGCCGGUGGCCUGGGGGUAGGUGACCUGAUGAGGGAAGCUGCUGACUUCGACUGGGGACGACCAGACCCGGGUACUCAGGGGUGCCUUCCCGACCUCCUUUCUAAAGCUGGAACCUCCUUGUUGUUCUCUAUCUCUGCAUCCUGUUUCUGGCCCUUUUAGCACUUAUGACAGGCCCCAGUCCCAGCCAUAGAGGAAGCAUGGAGACGAAAACACAUCUCUGCCUGAAAUGACCUCCUAUUUUAAGAAAAAACAACAGCCUCAAAAGAAGGAAAGGAAAAACAAAGUUCCACCCAGAAGGAAAUUGUAUGUAACAACCCAAAGGGAGACCAAGAGGAGAGGGUUGGAAUACUGAAAUAAGCAUCAAGCAAAUGGCCUCUGACGUAGUCAUUAGCCUCUAACAAUGUCAGAAUUUGAGCUUUGAGACAACUGCUUUGUGAUUGACAAAAAGAGGUUAGGGUGGGGGAGGAUCUGGACAAAAGCAAGCUGAUUUAUAAGUCCCCUCUGCAGCCGUGGAAACUUUGAUCUUUGAAGUUUGCCUAUUUUUUUCAGGACUCUGCUAGCAUGUAACCCAGGGGAGAUCAGCAACCACAAAACGUUGGCUAUAAUUUUCUGCAAUUUGUCACAUGCCCUCUUCAAGCCCUGGUGAGAUGGUUUUCUUUUGUUUUUAAGCCAUGGAUGAUAGUAAAGUAGUUCAGGCAAGAUAAGAGCAAGCUGGAAUCUUCCCAGUUCUUCUAAACCUGGGGCUACAUUGUCCUACAGGUGUAUUUUAAUUUACUUUUUACUGCAUGUGUAUUUGGUUUAGCUCACAUGGUAGUAAUUUUCCCCCCUCUUUUUGGAU